rnacentral:rRNA from 1 species
UGGUCUUGACAUCCCGAGAAUCUCUUGGAAACAAGAGAGUGCUUGCAUUAGUAAGAACUUGGUGACAGGUGCUGCAUGGCUGUCGUCAGCUCGUGUCGUGAGAUGUUGGGUUAAGUCCCGCAACGAGCGCAACCCUUGCCUUUAGUUGCCAGCAGGUUAAGCUGGGCACUCUAAAGGGACUGCCGGUGUCAAACCGGAGGAAGGUGGGGAUGACGUCAAGUCCUCAUGGCCUUUAUGACCAGGGCUACACACGUACUACAAUGGCCGAUACAAAGGGCAGCUACAUCGCAAGAUGAUGCGAAUCUCAGAAAGUCGGUCUCAGUCCGGAUUGGGGUCUGCAACUCGACCCCAUGAAGUUGGAAUCGCUAGUAAUCGUGGAUCAGCAUGCCACGGUGAAUACGUUCCGCGGGCACU